UGAGCAAUCUGCCCUUCUCAUCGGAAUAAGCGUUGGAAACGACGUCUAAUGCCGAAUACGACCUCCUUUCGAAUGAUCGGAGGUGGAAAGCUCCGGCGGAGAAGGAUGAGUCGCGGCCUAUCAGCUAGUUGGUGUGGGUAAUGGCCCACCAAGGCGACGACGGGUAGCCGGCCUGAGAGGGUGACCGGCCACACGUGGGACUGAGACACGGCCCAGACUCCUAGUGGGAGNAGCG
rnacentral:rRNA from 1 species